rnacentral:rRNA from 1 species
GAUGAACGCUAGCUACAGGCUUAACACAUGCAAGUCGAGGGGUAACGAGAGGAAAGCUUGCUUUCCUUGUCGACGACCGGCGCACGGGUGAGUAACGCGUAUCCAACCUGCCCCCAACUAGGGAAUAACCUUGCGAAAGUAAGACUAAUACCCUAUAAUUUCCUCAGAUGUCAUCUGACGAGGAAUAAGGAUUUAUCGGUUGUGGAUGGGAUGCGUCUGAUUAGCUUGUUGGCGGGGUAUCGGCCCACCAAGGCAACGAUCAGUAGGGGUACUUGGAGGAACGUCCGCCACAUUGGAACUGAGACACGGUCCAAACUCCUACGGGAGGCAGCAGUGAGGAAUAUUGGUCAAUGGGCGGAAGCCUGAACCAGCCAAGUAGCGUGCAGGAUGACGGACCUAUGGGUUGUAAACUGCUUUUAUACAGGAAUAAAGUUAGCCACGUGUGGUUAUUUGUAGGUACUGUAUGAAUAAGGACCGGCUAAUUCCGUGCCAGCCGCCGCAGUAA